rnacentral:misc_RNA from 1 species
GAUGAAGAACGUAGCGAAAUGCGAUACGUAAUGUGAAUUGCAGAAUUCAGUGAAUCAUCGAGUCUUUGAACGCACAUUGCGCCCCCUGGUAUUCCGGGGGGCAUGCCUGUCCGAGCGUCAUUGCUGCCCUCAAGCACGGCUUGUGUGUUGGGCCUCCGUCCUCCUCCCGGGGGACGGGCCCGAAAGGCAGCGGCGGCACCGCGUCCGGUCCUCGAGCGUAUGGGGCUUCGUCACCCGCUCUUGUAGGCCCGGCCGGCGCUUGCCGACACAUCAAUCUUUUUUCCAGGUUGACAUCGGAUCAGGUAGGGAUACCCGCUGAACUUAAGCAUAUCAAUAAGCGGAGGA